GUAUAUUUCAUUUUUAAUAACAUACAUCCAAAACAUGAUAGGGUUGUGAAAAAUGACAUAGACCUUGGAGAUGCAAGGCAAAGCUGACUCUCCCAAGUAGAAAAGCACAGCAGUCCCGACUCGAAUAAAAUUCAUAAAGCUCCAGGGUCUACAAAAUGUGCACAAGUUGGAGAAAUAACAAAGGACAAGCGUGCACAUACCCCCAAGAGGGCCAGCAAACAGCCUGCUCAAGUUUUAUUCGAUAAUGAUCCUUCCGCAGGUUCACCUACGGAAA
rnacentral:misc_RNA from 1 species